rnacentral:snRNA from 1 species
GUGCUCACCUUGGCAGCACAUAUACUAAAUUAGAAUGUUACAGAGAUUAGUCUGACCUCUGCACAAAGAUAAGAUGCAAACUCAUGAAGUGUUCAAUUAAAAA